AGGUGUCUCAAUUUUAUUGCUGAUUCUACUCAUUUGCUCAGGAGAUUGAUUCAGUCAGUUCAUCUGGAAAAGCUGCUCAGUGAAUUUAUUCCUUCACACUAAACAAAACUUGUUGACAUCACUUCACACUGGUGGAGCUAUCCGGCUAUCCAGCUAGCUAGCUUGAAAUUUUGUUGCUCCACUUUUCUAUAAGCAGAGGUGCAGUUGGUCUGCAGUCAGUCUACACAUAUAAGAACAGCCCACCUCUUUGUCUAGAGAUCACUUUUGCUGGAGCACCAUUCAGUUAGUGCCGUUGCAGUGGCCGUGUGCACAAUGGUGAACUUCAACUUGAUAUCAUUUUUACUCUAUACUCUCAGUUGGAUAUCUGUUUCACUUGCACAAUUUUACACUGUGGCGGUUGAGCCUGGACAACAAAUCACACUGCAGUGCUCCAACUUCAGCAGUUUUGCAACCUACAUAUUCUGGUUCAGGCUGGCCGACAGACUCAAUGCCAGUCCCAUCUCUUUUAUGUCGACUGCUAAUAGUCAUGCUACCUUCUGUGAUGGAUUUCAAUAUACUAAAUUUAACAUGAUAUCCAACACCUCUGUGCUAUUUCUCGAAAUCAAACAAGUGGAUCCAUCUGACUCUGGGUUAUAUUUUUGUGGAGAGUUGCACAUGGGACGGCCAAAGGUUUUCACUGCAACAUAUUUGAAGG